rnacentral:rRNA from 1 species
UACGGAGGGUGCAAGCGUUAUCCGGAUUCACUGGGUUUAAAGGGUGCGUAGGUGGGCUGGUAAGUCAGUGGUGAAAUCUCCAGGCUUAACUUGGAAACUGCCAUUGAUACUAUCAGUCUUGAAUACCGUGGAGGUCAGCGGAAUAUGUCAUGUAGCGGUGAAAUGCAUAGAUAUGCCAUAGAACACCAAUUGCGAAGGCAGCUGGCUAGACCUGGAUUGACGCUGAGGCACGAAAGCGUGGGGAGCGAACAGG